AACGAACGCUGGCGGCAUGCCAAACACAUGCAAGUCGAACGAGAUCUUCGGGUCUAGUGGCGCACGGGUGCGUAACGCGUGGGAAUCUGCCCUUUGGUUCGGAAUAACAGUUGGAAACGACUGCUAAUACCGGAUGAUGACGAAAGUCCAAAGAUUUAUCGCGAGAGGAUGAGCCCGCGUAGGAUUAGCUAGUUGGUGUGGUAACGGCGCACCAAGGCGACGAUCCUUAGCUGGUCUGAGAGGAUGAUCAGCCACACUGGGACUGAGACACGGCCCAGAAUACUACGGGAGGCAGUAGUGGGGAAUAUUGGACAAUGGGCGAAAGCCUGAUCCAGCAAUGCCGCGUGAGUGAUGAAGGCCUUAGGGUUGUAAAGCUCUUUUACCCGGGAUGAUAAUGACAGUACCGGGAGAAUAAGCUCCGGCUAACUCCGUGCCAGCCGCCGCGGUAA
rnacentral:rRNA from 1 species